rnacentral:lncRNA from 1 species
CCCCAAGGGGGUGGAGCAAGGACCCACUGCUCAGGCCCGGCGCUGGCCACAGCAGGAGCUCACGGGGGCAUCUUGGGGCAGAAAGGCAAAUAAGGAAUCUGGAGGAAGACCAAGGAGGAGCUGGUGAUUAACAUCACGCAAGGGCAGGCAUGUCCCCAGUGUGGCACCUCAGAGGUGACCAGCCACACAGCCCCCACCCCUGCCUGGACUGUGGCAUCUAGUGAGAGCUCCCAGCAUGAGCGACGCAGAAGAUGGGUGAUUUCUGCAUUUCCAACUGAGAUCUGCCCACAGGAGAGAAUGCAACAGUCCGAGAUGUGCUUCCAGGCAUGCAGAGAGGCGAGGGCUCACCCCAGGUGCAAAGCCUGCUGCUGUCUGGCCAACCUCCACCUGCAUCAAAGGCCAUCCACAUCAGGGGCUGGCGCCAGUGGGCACAGCUGGCUCUCAGACCAACCAAGUCCUACACCCUCUUUAUCAUGAAUAAAUGCAUGAUAAAGAAAGUGAUAUUUUCAUCUCCGCCAUCUGCCUCUCUUGACCGACUGUGCCCAUGGACAAGAAACAAGAAGCAUGCCCUGUUGUACCUGGUGACCCUGGUGCCCAACUGUUUGGUUGACCCGUUCUAUUGUUUUGUCUUCUAAGCAUUUACACUUAUCAAAUUUUUUUCCUUCUACUUUUACUGGGUUUGUUCUGUCUUUCUCCCCAAAACUUCUUAAGUUGAACAAUUAAAACAAUAUCUUAAAGAGUACCUUUCUUCUUCACCAACAUAGGCAUUUAAAACUGUAAAUUCCCCUGUAAUUACAAUUUUACUUGCAUCUCCUAAGUUUUGAUAUGCAAUAUUAUUUUGUCAUUCAGUUUUAAAUAAUUACGCAUUUCUAUUUUGAGGUCUUCAUUGACUCAUGGAAUAAUUAGAAGCACAUUUUAAAAUUAAAAAAAUAAAAGCAGUUCAGAGUGGUUGUAGGGGAGGGAGUGACUGACUUCUGAUCUUGUGGCAUUAUGGCCAGAGAAAGUUAUAAAAUUAGAUUUGAUACCGAUUCUCUCAGUAUAGGGUGAUGCCUGCUUGGUGAGCUAAAAAAUAUAUAUGAAUGAUGAUCAGUUUUUCUAAGUUUCAAAGUAUGCUUUAAAAUAAUGCAUAUUCUCUAAACGGGAUGUACAGGUUUUCUCAGAUCACCUUUUUAAACUGUAUUUUAUAAUAUCCUUAUUAACUUGUUUCUGUUUGAUCAAUCUACUGAGAAGUAUGUCUAGAACUCCCAUGAUUGUGGAGGUUUGCCAAUUUCUCCUUAUAAGUCCAUCAAGUUCUCCUCUCUAUCUUGAGGCUACGUAUGUUAGAAGAUCGCGGAUUCAGAACUGUUUCUUUUCCUAGUGAAUUACUUUCUUGGUUAUUGUUUACCAGCCUCCUUGAUCCCUAGCGCUGCAUUUGCUUUGUGUCUCUGCUGUCAGGUGCCACUGUUAGGCUACUUCAUUUGAGGUCAGCAUUUUAACAUCACUUUUCCCAUCUGCCACUUUCUACCUCGAGAGGCGGCAGUGUUUCAGACCCCAGCUGGGUCCCUUAUGAGCUGAGUCACUGACCAAGAUGGGGAAACUGACCAUCAAUAAAAAUAUCAACAUGUCAGGUGUGUUUCUAUUCAAUGUAGCUUCAAUCUAUUCGUUUACAAUGAUACCCGAAGAAAAAAAAAGUCAUUAGUCCCCAUCCUUGAAGGAUGCCAGGGAAUCAUGUAAUUACUUCAGAAAUUGGCAAAUAAAGGGAAGAAUCAAGUAUUAUCCAGCCUUUCCUAUACAAACUGCACCUCAAGGUAAGCAAAAAGUUGAUGCCAGGAAGUUUCUGGUUUUGGAAGCAUCCCAGCUAACAAACAAGGGAGGUGUUCUAGAAGCAGAACGUCACCUCUGCACAAAUGACACAGCGGUGGGCACAAUGGCUGCUGACGCAACACAAAGAGAAGCAAGCAGACGCCAAGGGCGCAGCGGAGGUGCAGG